UCGGGAAUUUUGGGCAAUGGGCGAAAGCCUGACCCAGCAACGCCGCGUGAGGGAUGAAGUAUUUCGGUAUGUAAGCCUCGAAAGAAUGGGAAGAAUAAAUGACGGUACCAUUUAUAAGCUCCGGCUAACUACGUGCCAGCAGCCGCGGUAAUACGUAGGGAGCAAGCGUUGUUCGGAUCUACUGGGCGUAAAGGGCGCGUAGGCGGCGCGGUAAGUCACUUGUGAAAUCUCUGAGCUUAACUCAGAACGGCCAAGUGAUACUGCUGUGCUAGAGUGCGGAGGAGGGAACCGGAAUUCUAGGUGUAGCGGUGAAAUGCGUAGAUAUCAAGAGGAACACCUGAGGCGAAGGCGGGUUGCUGGGCCGACACUGACGCUGAUGCGCGAAAGCC
rnacentral:rRNA from 1 species